rnacentral:miRNA from 1 species
UCUCUAUGUAGCUCAGGCUGGCCUUGAACUCACUGUGUAGCCCAGGCUGGCUUUGAACUCAAAGCGAUCCUCCUGCCUCAGCCUCCUGAGUGCUGGGAUUAUAGGCAUGCACCACAACACCC